GGGGCUGUAGCUCAGUUGGCUAGAGCGCCUCGCUUGCACCGAGGAGGCCAAGGGUUCGACUCCCUUCAGCUCCACCA
rnacentral:tRNA from 1 species